UAUCAGAAACGUGUAUUCUUUUUCUUUUAAUAGUAAACCUCUUUACAACAAAUAUAGUGAAAGAGUUUUCAAACAAAACUCAUAAGAAUCUCGAGGACUUUUGUCUUUUCUUAUUGUGUAGAAUACUAAGAAAGCAUCACCAUACAGCACGAAAAGAAAUAUUGAAAACAAAUCAACAGCCUCACACUUGGACUCGCCCUGCCCCAGGAGCCAGGAAGAGCCCCAGGAGUGUGGGUGAUUGUCAGGUGUGGGGGCGGGGCACCUCCAUGGCCCGUCCUGCCCCUCCCUUCCUCGUCCUCACCACCUCCCUCCCUCUGGGACUUGAAUGGGGAAGAGGAGAGAAUCCAGAGUCUCCAUUCCAGCCUCCCUCCCCCCAUACAAAUGCCAUUCCUUCUACCAACCGGUUUAAGGGGGGAUUCCAAAGAGUCAGUUAAAAAUAUAUAGAGAUAUAGAUAUUUCUAGAUACACUUUUACAUUUCUGUCUCUCCAAACAAAUAAAUAAUCAGCAAGAGAAGGUGCAUUACUUCCUUCCUGUCCAAGGUGGGGAGGGUUGGGAGGGGGUCAGGGGUCAGUCUCGCUGCACCGAGCGUGCUGUUGAGAGGGGAGGAUGGUGUGUUCCAUUGAGGUGGUGGUGGGGGGUCCUCUUGCCCACUGUCCCUGAAAGCUGUGGGAAACCUGGGGAGGGGAGGGCCAUUAGAUGACUCCAGUGGUUACUUUGGCAAAUGCCCAGUUCUUCAGAGGGAGUGGGUGGAGGCGAAUUUGGCUUGAGAGGAAGAAGCCAUUAAGUCCCCAUCUGAGGUCUGGGUUCCCAGGGACCCAUUCAUCUGGCCGCCCAGGAGCCCCUACCCCCAAGAGAAACCUUCGGAUACUGAACUGCAGAAAUGUCACAUAUUCACAGACCACCCUGUCCCCAGGGACAGAGAAGAAAGGACACAGAAACAUCCACACAUGGUAAUCAAAAGCCAGGUUUGCCUUUAUGAGGCAGAGGGCAAAACUGGUGAAUAUUGCACCGUGAACUGCAGGGGCCCUCACCCCCACCCCGUGUUUAAUGGUGGCCAAGCCUAGUCUAGAAAGGUGGGCAGACUAAUGGUGGGAAUAGCCUGAGAAGGGAAGGCCAGUCAUUCAUUUAUUCAGCACCUAUCAUUCAACCAUUCACCCAUUCAGCAUUGAUUGAGUGCCUACUAUGUGCCAGGCACUGGGCGAGGCUCUGGGGAUGCAUGCAUGAACAAGAUUACACCCUGGCUUCUUUCAAGCCCUGGAUCGAGGCUCAUCAGUUUUUGAAACUUCUUCUAGAAGCCUGCAGGGGAGGUGGGAAGGCUGGACGUGCUGCCCCCACCCAGUCAGCGGAUUGGGGUUAAGAGUAAGAACGGGGCCGGGCGCGGUGGCUCAAGCCUGUAAUCCCAGCGCUUUGGGAGGCCGAGGCGGGCAGAUCACGAGGUCAGGAGAUGGAGACCAUCCUGGCUAACACAGUGAAACCCCGUCUCUACUAAAAAUACAAAAAAUUUAGCCGGGCGUGGUGGCGGGCGCCUGUAGUCCCAGCUACUCGGGAGGCUGAGGCAGGAGAAUAGCGUGAACCCAGGAGGCGGAGCUUGCAGUUAGCUGAGAUCGCGCCACUGCACUCCAGCCUGGGGGACAGAGCGAGACUCCGUCUCAAAAAAAAAAAAAAAAAGAGUAAGAACGGAUCACUGCUCAGCUGAGGGAGAAGCUUGCUUCACGGAGGAAGAGGGACUUGAGUUUUGCUCUGAAAGCAGGUCUGGGGUUGGAGAAAGAGGGUACUCCAGGAACUGUGUGUCAAGCAUGGGCAACUAAGUGGACAAAUGUGGGUGGAAGCAGAGGUCCCUGGAGGGAGAGGCCCUGGCAGAGGUAGGGCUGCAGGGAGAAGCACAGAGGGCUAACUGCCCAUCCCCCCAACUGCAGUUCAAUGCGUCAGAGCUGAGGGUGAACACAGGGAAAUGAGCAGGGAAGAUGGGAGUUGGGGUCCCAGGGCUGUGGAGCUGGAGCAGCCAACUGUCCCUUUGUAAACACACACCAGGCACACUCAGACUCA
ensembl:lncRNA